UCCCAGUAAGUUCUAAGAAACGCUGAUUUUGUAAAUCAGAAGUACUUAUGGGAA
rnacentral:tRNA from 1 species